CCAAAAUACCCCAAAAUCCCCCCAAAAACUGCCAAAAUCUCCCAAAAAACACCCACAAAAUACCCCAAAAACCACCCCAAACACCCCAAAGCUCCCGAAACAUCCCAAAACCCACCCCAAAUACCCCAAACACCCCAAAACCCUCCAAACCCCCAAAAUGCCCCAAAAAGCACCAAAAAGACCCCAAAAGCUGAGGGAAUUUGGGUUUUUUUCGGGGUGCCCAGGACCAGGGUGCGUUCCUGUGCGUGGUCGAUGACUCCAACGAGCACAUGAUGUCGGUGUGGGACUGCGCCCGCGGCACCAAGCAGGCCGAGGUCAAGCAGCAUCGUCAGCAGCGGCAAAUCGCACGUGUUCUUCUGGAGCUGGAGCGGCGGGGCGCUGACCAAGAAACACGGCAUCUUCGGGAAGUACAAGAAGCCCAAGUUCAUCCAGUGCUUCAUCUUCGACGCCGCCGGGGCGCUGCUCACCGGGGACUCGGAGGGGAACAUCCUCACCUGGACCCGCACG
rnacentral:lncRNA from 1 species